GACGAACGCUGGCGGCGUGCCUAAUACAUGCAAGUAGAACGCACAGUUUAUACCGUAGCUUGCUCCACCAUAGACUGUGAGUUGCGAACGGGUGAGUAACGCGUAGGUAACCUGCCUGGUAGCGGGGGAUAACUAUUGGAAACGAUAGCUAAUACCGCAUAAUAUUGAUUAUUGCAUGAUAAUUAAUUGAAAGGUGCAAUUGCACCACUACCAGAUGGACCUGCGUUGUAUUAGCUAGUAGGUGAGGUAACGGCUCACCUAGGCGACGAUACAUAGCCGACCUGAGAGGGUGAUCGGCCACACUGGGACUGAGACACGGCCCAGACUCCUACGGGAGGCAGCAGUAGGGAAUCUUCGGCAAUGGACGAAAGUCUGACCGAGCAACGCCGCGUGAGUGAAGAAGGUUUUCGGAUCGUAAAGCUCUGUUGUAAGAGAAGAACGGGUGUGAGAGUGGAAAGUUCACACUGUGACGGUAUCUGACCAGAAAGGGACGGCUAACUACGUG
rnacentral:rRNA from 1 species